GCUUGACGCCGUAGUGGAUCAUGAGAAGUUCUUGGGGCUUGAUCUGGAGUACACGGCCGAUCAACGCGGUGUUGCCGUCAUCCAACUAUGUUUCGCACACCAUGUCUUGAUCUUCCAAUGGGCGAGGUAAGUUUUGAGGCUUUCUUUGAUCCAAGGUAAUGACAUUGUAAGUUUAUUUGUUUCAAUCAUAGUUGGUUCCCUUCAAAUAGUUGUAGUGAAACAAUUUUGAUUAGUUGAGGGGGAACACAAUCUGAUUGGAAUAGUGUUCCAUAAUCUGAAAAAUCGUAUUAGAAUCAACUAGUGUUUAAUAUGUUUCAUUGGAAUCAUAGUUGGUUCGCUUCAAAUAGUUGUAGUGAAACAAUUUUGAUUAGUUGAAGGGAAUAGUUGUAGUGAUAGUUGAAGGGACUAGUGUUUAAUAUGUUACAUUGGAAUAGUGUUCCACAAUCUGAAAAAUCUGAUUGGUUCAAUAUGUUCCAUUGAAAUCAUAGUUGUAGUGAUACAAUUUUAUGCGGUGUUCUUUGAUCCAAGGUUAUGAAAAUUGCAUAUAGCUAGUGAUCUCUCUAGGUUCCAUUAUAUAGCAAUAUGAUAUGUCAUAGUCAUGAAAAUUGCAUAUAGCUAGUGAUCUCUCUAGGUUCCAUUGGAUAGAUAUAGUGAUCUCUCUAGGUUCCAUUGGAU
rnacentral:lncRNA from 1 species